CCCUGAUGGCUCAGAUGGUAAAAGAAUAUGUCUGCAAUACAGGAGGCCCGGGUUCGAUUCCUGGAUCAGGAG
rfam:Ovis aries breed Texel chromosome 6, whole genome shotgun sequence.